AUGUUGCCGUCGGCUGCUCCUCGCCUCCCCAACCACCCGCCCACAGCUCCUUCACCGCGGUUGCAGAAGCGCUCGUGGGCCUCUGUUGUUGCCGCUCCGACUGGGCUCGUUCAAGGGGCCCCUUGUAGCAAAUCCGGCGCCCCAUGUUCGGGUCUGGCCGACCCUGACGAUUCGACCUUGGCUGCUGAUUUGGGGCUGCUGAAACCCCUCUUUGCAGCUCAGACCGAGGCGCUCCGCGCAGAGUUGCAGGCUCUGGUUUCCGCUCGUGUGGAGGAGGUCGUUCAACCCCUUCGUGACAUGGCCGUUGCUCUGCAAGGUUGGGCGGCCCAGGUCUCGGGCCUCUUGGAGCGGCUGGAGGCUAUCAGUGGCAAAGCUGUGGGGAAUGGUGGGGGGUCUUCUUCCUUGGCACCUUUGGGUUUGCCUCCUCCCUGGUGCGAGCAUGAGAAGACGGUGCCCUUUGUUGUCGCAGAUGGUAAGGAUGUCAGUGAGGCAGGAAUGGCCGGGUGCUUGUCUGAGGUUCUGGCAACUAUGGCGCUACCUGCAGAUGUUCUUCCUGCGGUGGAUGUAGUUCUGCACGAGAUGGUAUUUCAACGUGAGGAAGAGCAAGCUAAGGUUGCUGAGAUAGUCACAUCGAGCAUUGAUAUGGAGCAUAUUGAGGUGGCCUUGCCUGAUGGUUUGGCUGGCGAGGCGCCUCCCUUUGUCUCCUCUUCGGUGACGCUUGCUUCAGGGGACACUACCAAUAUGAUGUCCUCUGGGUCCGAGGAGCCACUUGGUGAUAUUGGUGCGCCAUCAACCUCCUUGUUGGAUGAGUUCCUAAGCGGUUUCAGUUGCGCAGCGCCGCGGUCCUUGCUCGAAGAACCGAUCCAUGUGCAGAUUGAUGGGACAUCUACUUGUUUCGAGAGGCGGAGUGGAUGUUUGGAUAAGAAGAACAAAAACUACAACAUUCCUACUGCCAAGCGCGCUGAAUAUAGGUUGUCGGAGGCUUAUGGGGAACUGCCGAAGGGGAUGACAUCUAAGAAAGGCUCCGAGGAGGAUGUGCAACAGAAGAUGAGCUCUUAUCUUCGGAUGUACAAGCAACCGCUUACGCCGACGGCGACCCAAGCAAUUCGUGCAUUGGUGGAAGCCAAUGGUUGA
rnacentral:rRNA from 1 species